GCCCGUGUAGCUCAGUGGUAGAGCAUUGUACUUAUGUGGUUAUCGUUUAUGCAAGGGUCUCGAGUUCAAUCCUCGGCGUGGGCA